GAUGAACGCUGGCGGCAUGCCUAACACAUGCAAGUCGGACGGGAAGAGGUGUUUCCAGUGGCGGUCGGGUGAGUAACGCGUAAGAAACUGCCCUGGGGAGGGGAACAACAGCUGGAAACGGCUGCUAAUACCCCGCAGGCCGAGUAGCAAAAGGAAGAUUCCGCCCGAGGAGGGGCUCGCGUCUGAUUAGCUAGCUGGUGGAGCAAUAGCUUACCAAGGCGAUGAUCAGAAGCUGCUCGGAGAGGAAGAUCAGCCACACUGGGACUGAGACACGGCGCAGGCACUUUCGGGAGACGGGAGAGAGCAUGAUUCAGCAAUGCGGGAUGGGCUGAGAGGGCAUUCGCAUGGUAAAGUAGUGGUAUUAGGGAUCAAGAACUGCUUUUCACGGAGAAGAAGUAAUGACGGUACCUAGGGAAUAAGCAUCGGCUAACUCUGUG
rnacentral:rRNA from 1 species